rnacentral:rRNA from 1 species
AGAGUGAACGCUGGCGGCAGGCCUAACACAUGCAAGUCGAACGGCAGCACAGGGGAGCUUGCUCCCUGGGUGGCGAGUGGCGGACGGGUGAGGACAACGUCGGAAUCUGCCUUUUUGUGGGGGAUAACGUAGGGAAACUUACGCUAAUACCGCAUACGACCCCAGGCCGGGAGGUUUGGGUGAAAGCGGAGGACCUUCGGGCUUCGCGCAGAAAGAUGAGCCGACGUCGGAUUAGCUAGUUGGUGGGGUAAAAGGCCCACCAAGGCGACGAUCCGUAGCUGGUCUGAGAGGAUGAUCAGCCACACUGGAACUGAGACACGGUCCAGACUCCUACGGGAGGCAGCAGUGGGGGAAUAUUGGACAAUGGGCGCAAGCCUGAUCCAGCCAUGCCGCGUGUGUGAAGAAGGCCUUCGGGUUG